GGACUACCGGGGUAUCUAAUCCCGUUCGCUACCCUGGCUUUCGCACCUCAGCGUCAGUUACUGACCAGCAAGUCGCCUUCGCCACCGGUGUUCUUCCCAAUAUCUACGCAUUUCACCGCUACACUGGGAAUUCCCCUUGCCUCUUCAGUACUCCAGUCUAUCAGUCUCAAUAGCGGGUUAAGGUUAAGCCUCAACAUUUUACUACUGACUUGAUAAACAGCCUACAUGCCCUUUACGCCCAGUAAUUCCGGACAACGCUCGUCCCCUACGUAUUACCGCGGCGGCUGGCAC
rnacentral:rRNA from 1 species